rnacentral:rRNA from 1 species
GACAGAGGGUGCAAACGUUGUUCGGAAUUAUUGGGCGUAAAGCGCGUGUAGGCGGCUUUGCAAGUCGGGUGUGAAAGCCCUCAGCUCAACUGAGGAAGUGCGCCCGAAACUGCAGAGCUUGAGUACCGGAGAGGAUGGCGGAAUUCCCCAAGUAGAGGUGAAAUUCGUAGAUAUGGGGAGGAACACCGGUGGCGAAGGCGGCCAUCUGGACGGUCACUGACGCUGAGACGCGAAAGCGUGGGUAGCAAACAGG